rnacentral:rRNA from 1 species
AUUGAACGCUGGCGGCAGGCCUAACACAUGCAAGUCGAACGAGUGGCGGACGGGUGAGUAAUGUCUGGGAAACUGCCUGAUGGAGGGGGAUAACUACUGGAAACGGUAGCUAAUACCGCAUACCAUCGGAUGUGCCCAUAUGGGAUUAGCUAGUAGGUGGGGUAAAGGCUCACCAAGGCGACGAUCCGUAGCUGGUUUGAGAGGAUGACCAGCCACACUGGGACUGAGACACGGUCCAGACUCCUACGGGAGGCAGCAGUGGGGAAUAUUGCACAAUGGGCGAAAGCCUGAUGCAGCCAUCCCGCGUGUAUGAAGAAGGCCUUCGGGUUGUAAAGUACUUUCAGCGGGGAGGCGUUACCCGCAGAAGAAGCACCGGCUAACUACGUGCCAGCAGCCGCGGUAAUAC